UAUGCUCUACAGCAGGUCCUGUCCAGCGUUCCCUCACCAACGGACACCAGGGCCGUGCAACACAACCACCCGCUGCAGGCCGUCAGCAAACGGGCUGAAUGAAGGGCGGUCAUUAUCACAGCGAGAAGCCAACUGCCAGGCGUCCCACCCAUCCCUGAGACCCGUCUCCGCAAUGGAAACCCUGCCGGGCAACACAGAAUGAGCCCAGGCGGUGCUGCGGACGAAGGCUGUCCCCUUAGUGGUGAACACGAGGUGCAAAGCCCCUGCCAACCGUGUGUGGACUUGCAGCGUGGGCAAGAAGCAGAACAUUCCGGUAGUGGAGUAACGCAAAAGGCAACAUCCCCAUCAAGCCAAGGACGUUCGUGGCUGUCUCUCCAAGGCCCUCGCCCACGGCUGGCACGCGCAGUUGAACUGCAGGCGGCCCCGAGCCCACCACCCGGCGAGGAGGUAGGGAGGCCCAUUCAGCGAGCACGGGGCAAUGGCAGAGGGGCUGUUUGCUCGUUGGUUCCAGUCCAAGCUAGAAUGGCAUUCAGAGCAGAGAGAGUUUAUUUAAAGGACCCGAAAGGUUAAACCACUCAGUGUUCUGCAGAGUUAAAUCAGACGUGUUUUUAGCAGUCUAGGCAGGUUUGACCUGGGCUAUAUGGGUCUCGUAAUUUAUCCUACAGUUGGACGUCUCUUGAUUCCAGAAUAUAGAGCAAAAUGCUGAGCAGGGAGCGGAAACCAUGAACCCACAUCUCUGGAGGCCGACUCUGUGCCGUGCAUCCUCCAUAUGCAGCUCCCUGACCUCCCAGAACUCGGGGACGGGGGGUUGUUACUGUCCCUCACAGAUGGGGAAACUGAGGUACAGGAGGGAGGAAGCCAGUGGCCUCAGGCGUCACAGCAGCAGGGGGUGGAGUGGGGCUCUGGAGCCAGGCUGUGAUCCCAGCAUCCAAGCUGCCUUCCCGUCAGCCUCCCCAUGAAUCUGAAUCUGCAUCUCCAGCCAGUCUCGCUCCUGGGCUCUGCUCUUUGCUCCUCUGGGCCUCGGACAGGUCUCCUCCGAUACCUCUGUUACUGCAGACUCAGCGGGUUUAAAACUGACCCUGACCUUCACCAUGGAAGGGCCACCCACUCGUCCUACUCCAGACGACACUGGGAUCAGAUGGGCGAUGGGCCCCACCCGAGGCCCCGGCCACGCAUCCCGGGCUGUGUCCCUAAAUUGCCGCCUGGAGCCUGCGACCCAGUCAGAUGCGCAGCCGCCAGCAUACCCCUGCUGAUCUGAAUCACCAAGUUUCAGCUUUGGCAUGUAAACAGCUCGGCAUCACUUCCAUUCUUACCAGAAGAAAAAUCCUGAACAACCUGAAGAUCGAUGACUUUUCUCGGACACGUCAGAGAAUUGGGGUCAAAGGGCAAACCAUCAGAAGGUCGGCCAACGCCAGCCAGCCCACAAGCACCAGAGAACAGAAACUCAGCCAGGCAGACUCCAAGAUGGUUCCAAAAAAUUGAGGCAAACACGGACGGUCAAGAGGUCCUUGGUCCUUCUCUCGUUGGAAUACAAUUCACCGUGUUGAGUAUUUCGGCAGUGAGAUGGGGGCAUGGCACCCAGCUCCCUGAUUCACGGGCUCCUCGGAGUGUGAGAUGCGAUCAGAAAGGCAAAGCAUCUCAGCGAAGUGAAGGAUGCUCUGAAAGACAUGUGAUUAUCCUCUUCAAAUUCCCACUCCGCUGCUAAUCAACCAUGUACACUUGACUUUCAGUUUUAACACAGGAGAGAAUCAGAUUUGGUGGUCUUUAAGGUCUGACAUUUUAGAGUCUGCUUUUGCUGUCCCCACCCUGAGUCUUCUCUACGUGGUCUGAAGCUACUUAACUGUAAGUUUAAACACAUGAGCUGGAAUACUAUCGGGACGCUGUCAUUUUUGCAUGAAUGCACUGCAGAUGAGUGUGUGAAACAUUAUUGAGAGAAAUGUUUAUGUUUCAACAUGAUCAUGAUAAGACAUGGAUUGCGGCUGAGUUUGCUGAUGUGAAAUCACUGAGGGGGAAGAAAACUGAAAGUGUUUAAAAAAAAUUUUCACAUUAGGUGAAUGUGUGGGAGGACCUAAUUUCUAGCAUCCCAACCUCAGAUGGUGUUGGAAAAGGUAGAGAUUGGAGUGGGUGACUUUUUAGGAAGAAGGACCCUGUGUUAAGAACGCUUCCUUGCCAGCCCCUCUCUACACAUCUCCCAAAGCCAGCCCAAGACCAGUUAAGCAGAGAGUCAUCAACCAACAUUUUUGACAAAAGGCCAUGACUUUUGCACCUUUGCCAUAUCAUUAUACCUUGACAUUGAGUUCUUGACAUGCUGUGCUUGAAAUGUACAACUUUUAGCUAAUUAGAAGACUAAAAAAUGCGACUUAAUGAAUUCAAGACUUGUUUAUGCUAACCUGGCAAGGCGUUUGGCAGUGAAAAAGUGUGAUUUGGUGAACAUCUGAUUACGAGCCGUGUGGAAUUCCAUGUGCUGAGAGGCUGGGUUGGAUCGGAUUUUUAUUGAAGUAUUCUCUAGUAUGUGAACUAAUUUCCGACUACUUCAUAAAGACCCCUAAGCAGGGUUGACAAAGGAUUUAUCAUAAUUAUUGCUCUGGCCAGGAAAAUGAUUAUAAGUGAUACAUGUAUAAAUUGUGUUUAUAAAGUUUCCGAGUCACAAUUAAAACAUGCUGUAAUUUUUCUUCCUUUUCCCUUUUUUUCCUCCUAGUGAUGACUUGCCUUUCAAAACUUCCUUUUUUCUCCCUCAAAUUAAUACCUGCCAGAGAUUUCCUUUGGACAGAACAGACUCCCAACACAUACCCGUACACAUUCUUAAGAAGCUUUUGAUCUGCCAUUUUUUCAAACCCGCCCCCUGAGAAAGUAGUUCAGCUAUCAAUACUUUACAUAACCCUUCUGUCAAAGCCACAAACUCAAAGCAAUUUGCAAAUGCCAUUCAAUACUCAUUCAGUGCUUAGCACAAGCCAUUUUAAAAUCAUAGAGUACACUGAGAACAUGUCAAAAAAGAACAGAAUGGGGUUCAGAGGGCUGAGCAGAAGGAAGGUAGGAAGAAGAAAGGAAUGUGUUAAGAGCCAGGGUAGAAAUAGCACUAUAGGGAAUUCCCUGGCGGUCCAGUGGUUAGGACUCAGCGCUUUCACUGCCGAGGCCCAGGUUCAAUCCCUGGGUGGGGAGCUAAGAUCCCACAAGCUGUGCAAUGUGGCAAAAAAAAAAAAAAAAAAAAAUCACCAUAUUGUUUGUUGGGCAUAAAGUUCUAUACACUUCUACUAGAGCAAACUUGGUUAUUAUGUUAUUGUGCAUAUAUGUAUUAUUUUUGUCUCUUUGAGCUCUCAGGGUCUAAAAGUGUGUAUUUAAAAAUCUCCGCGGGGCUUCCCGCGUGGUGCAGUGGUUGAGAGUCCGCCUGCCGAUCCAGGGGACACGGGUUCGUGCCCCAGUCUGGGAAGAUCCCACAUGCCGCGGAGCGGCUGGGCCCCUGAGCCAUGGCCGCUGAGCCUGCGCGUCCGGAGCCUGUGCUCCGCAACUGGAGAGGCCGCAACAGUGAGAGGCCCGCGUACCGCAAAAAAAAAAAAAAAAAAAAAAUCAAAAUCUCCAGGACUUCCCUGGUGGCACAGUAGUUAAGAAUCUGCCUGCCAAUGCAGGGGACACGGGUUCGAGCCCUAGUCUGGGAAGAUCCCACAUGCCGCAGGGCAACUAAGCCCAUGCGCCACAACUACUGAGCCUGCGCUCUAGAGCCCACAAGCCACAACUACUGAGCCCAUGUACCACAACUACUGAAGCCCGCAUGCCUAGAGCCCGUGCUCCGCAGCAAGAGAAGCCACCGCAAUGAGAAGCCCACGCACCGCAACGAAGAGUAUCCCCUGCUCACCGUAAGUAGAGAAAGCCCGCACACAGCAACGAAGACCCAACAGAGACAAAAAUAAACAAAUAAAUUUAUUUUUAAAAUAAAUAAAUAAAAUAAAAAUCUCCAGCUAGUGAACACUAGAUGAUUUAUCUAUUCCUCCCCAUAAUGCUGCCUAUUGUGGAUUUAUUGGAAGGACCGUUAUAGUAUCAUAGUUUCUCAUCUUUUUUUUUUUUUUUUAAAGCAACGAAUAAAGACUGCAAGAACAAAGGAUUCCGAAACCAAGAAGUUUGCAACAACUAACCACACCCCUCCCUCACCUCGCCUUUAAAAAUGCUUUGCUGAAACGCGUUAGGGAGUUUCGGUUUUGGGGGCAAGAGUCAGCCAUCUCCUUGCUUAGCCCUGCAGCAAACCUUUCUCUGCUCCAAACUCUGAUGUUUGUUUGGCCUCAGUGUGCAUCUGGCACUUGAACUUGUGUUGGGUAAAGAAUCAGUCUGAGAAAUAUCUUCUUUUAUUUAUUUUUUUCUUUGAGAGGUAUGCCUUAGUUUCCUCCCAGCUUUAUUGAGAUAUAAUUGACACUUAACAUUGUGUCAGCUUAAGGUGUGCAGCGUGUUGAUGUGAUACCUUUAUAUGUAGCGAAAUGAUUACCAGCUCAGCAUCAGCUAGUGGCGCCUCCAGCCUGGCGCGCAGUUACUACUUCUUUUUGUAGUGAGAACACUUAAGAUCUACUUUCUCAGCGACGUACGUGACACAGUAUUAUUAGCUGUAAUCCCCCGCUGUACAUUAGAUCCCCGGAACUUACGCAUCUUACGACCUCUACCGCCUCUCACGGGCUGAGGGGCAUUUUGAAUCUCCAGGAGGGAGUGUAGCGUUCGGCGCUUUUGCAAACAUACUCGGCCCUGGAACUCUGGUUUUCUGGAGCAUCUCUUGGGGGGAUUAUUCCAUCAGGCACACUUUGAAGGAUGAGCUAAACCUGGAGGCAUCUCGGAAAAUAUUCUGUGGUUCCUUCCUGAGGAGCCGGUGUCUCCCAAGGGGCCAAUCAUGAAGCGAGCUCACACCCCCUCAGUCAGUGCUGACCCCGUGCGCUCUGUUAGCGCUUGGACCGUGGAUGAACAAGACACAAGGACAGGCCUGAAAACAUCGACACUUCCCAUUUUAAUGGUAAAAGUGUGUUUUGGGAGAUCAUGUGGCUUGUCCCUUGGGUCUUGCAUUAGAAGUCAACACUGCCCCAAGAGGGUGAGCUCAGAGCCCAAUCGCCAGGGUUCAGAUCCCAGCUCCACGAUUCCAACCUGAGUGACCUUGGGACAGUUACGCAACCUCUCUGAGCUUCACUUUGCUUAUCUGCAAAACGGAGAUGCAGAUUGUGCCACUUUCGCGGGUUGCUGUCGGGAUUCAGUGGAAAAGCCACAGAAAGCACUUCCCCUGGAGCCUGGCACUUAAUAAACACUCUGUGAAUAUGAGCUAUUCCAGAGGCUUUUUCUCUAUUACACUUUGCUGUGAUUCCGAAUGGAGCUGAGGCCGCAUGGCCUAGGGAUUUCACGUAUGAACUUCCAAGCCAGACCACCUGGUGACCUUCAGCAAGGCACUUAACCCCUGUGAGCCUCAGUUUCUUUGCAGCAGGUGGGAUAAAGAGCAACCCUAGCCCGCGGGGUUGUUGCAGUUCAGUGAGUUAGUAUUUGUAAGCGCUGAACCCAGUGCCGUCACAAGGCUUACACUCACUAAACCUCAGCAGGACUGCGCGCUCCCCUCUCUUCUGAACGCUCCGGAAGCGGAUCAGGUGGUCUCUGCAGGCUCUGCUCUUCCGUGAACGAUGUUCUCCUGGGGCAGCUCCCCACAGCCAGGAGCGACGCCGGCCGCAUCUCUGUACCUGGCUCCCAGCCCCACGCUGGCUGGGGUCAGGCACCAGGAGAGACUCGGCCCUGACAGUGCACUUUCCCCGAGGGUGCGGGGCCCCUGGCUGUGCCUGUCAGCCGAGGACUGGCAUCCGUCACACUCAUCAUCAGAUCCUGAGGUCCCAGAAGAGCGGAGAGCAUCCGCUGAGGGAGUGGCCAAUCCGCAACGGAAGCCCCCGAGACUGAUCGUGCUGAGUCCCCUCGCGUGGAACUUGGAGCAGCGGGAGGAGACGGGCCUGACCUUUCCUCCUGAUGUCCUGCCGUCUGCGUGAGGUCUGAGAAGCCAGGACAGAGUGUGGCCCUCUGGGAUGUCAGCGGACUCUGGUGCUGGCUCUGCUUCCCUGUGGGUGCUGGGCAGGGGCUAAGUCCACAGUGACACCCCCAGCAAGGGUCCUGUCCACUGCCAUCGUGUCCUCCAGCUCCUUUCUGAUGGGACUUGGGAUGAGUCCCGGGCACCGUAAGUGUGAAAGGGGCUUAACGACAGAGAACAUACCUCGGAGCCCGCCCAGCAGCCCUCGGCCCCCACAGGUCAUCGGCAGGCCGCAUCACACAUGCCAACGGCUUCCUGAGGACCUUCUCAACCCCACCCAGGACAGGCCAGACGGGGCAAGGAGUCAGUGCCCCCAGGCGCAUCCCAGGGUGCGUCCCCAGCUUCGGGGCCCUCAGUGGACCCUGCCCUGGCCCGCCCGCAUGCCCACAGCAGGAAAGCAUCACCAAUGAAUGUUUAUUGCCUUUCUGGCUUCCCCGUCUCACUCCCAGCACACCACUGCCCAAGCCACAUGUCAGGCUGUGCUCUGGGAAGACCCAGACUCAGACGGUGCUGACCCCGUUGCCUCCAGGAGCGCGGGCUCUGUGUCCAGCUCCCAGGUGGAUGCAAGUUUCCUCCUGUCCUUAGCAGCCGGGCCCUGGCAGUGAGGUCACGUAUUCGAGUUUCUUCCUUUGCAACAUGAAUGUGAUAGCGGCACUUCCCUCCUGGUAUCAGCCUCAGGACUGACCAAGUCCGAGUACAGAAGGACCAAGAGAACAUGUGUGUCCAGGGAACAAGCAGCACACGCAGGGCAGCUGCUGUUAUGUGUGCACUUAGCACAGUUUCUCAGCCAGUUGGAGCCUCAGUUUGCACAUCUGUGAAAUAGGAGAAUAAUCAAUGACAAAAGCCAAUACGACGCUUGCUGGGAACCUGCACUGAAGGGGGCUCGGUAAACAUCAACUGCUGUUGUAAUUGUGAUUGUCGACGACUCCCUGUCAUGACUGACCCCCACACAGCAGUGCCUGAGAUGCUGGCUGAAUGACAGGAAAAGCUGACCAGCUGCUGCAGAGCACUGAACCUGUGGCACUCGGAUGGCACAGGUGGUGGGCUGCGUGCGACUCCCAACGCAGAUGAGAAUAGCCCCGCGGGGACCAGAUGCUGAGCAGUGCUUUACCACCAUGGUCUCGGUGUGAAAAUGGUCCUGUACAGAGAGUAGACCCAUGGCUAGGCCUGGCCAGUCAAAUUCCUGCAUGAAUUUUAUGUAUAUAUGCUGAGGAGAGAGCGGCUUCCACUUACCUCUUGGAUCUCCAGGACCCAGCGAAUAGCGGGAAAGAGAAAAAUAAAACAAGAUCACCGUGCAGCACAGUACAGAGGACACCAAGGAUGGCCCUUUCUACAAUGAGCCACUGUGCUGCUUGAGCUGAAAUGGCUCUUCUGAAGCCGAGAGAUAUGGACAGAACUGUAGAAGAAUGAAAUGAUAGAAAAUCCAGGAUUCAUCUCAAAGUCAAGGUUGAUACUGAGCUGAUAAGGGCUGAGGCGUGAGUUCCCAGCACUUGCUAGCUGCCCGACAAUUACGGAGGCUCUGGACUGUGUCGUCACCCACCCUCCAGCCUCCACCUCCACCUCCAGAAGGACAAGAUGUCUCCAUAAGAGAGUCCUUCGAAGGCAGUUUCCUUUCUACAACCCAGCAUCAUGCCUCCCAGAACCUGUCUGGUGUCAAGGCACAGAAACACGACGAAAUGCCGGGGCUGCGGUUGUCUGCGUGUCUCCACUGACGUUUUGGGGUUGGCCUUCGUGGUCGUUUCGCUCGUGAACGUGCAGACGGCUGCAUCUCAUCACCUUAAGAUCCAGUACCGAACGAAUCGCUACAAUUCUAAGACGCCACCAAAGACGGGAUCCUACAGAUGGCCCAGCGUGAUGGGUAAUGGGCUCAACCGUGGUUUUCCCAUCUGCAAAAUGGAGCCACUAACACCUGCUUCGAUGGGACAGUACCAGGAACACAGUAAGUGCUCAAUAAGUGGUCUUCCCACCAUGGGAGACUCCAUUCCAAUCCCCAGUCCAGUUUCACGCCAAGAGCCAAGAAAACCGUAAAUCAAGCCAUAACCCAUAGGCGCAGGGGCUGUGUCCGUCCCCUGCGCUUUCUUAAGAUGAAAACAAGGCUUGCUUCGCUAUGUCAGGAUCACAGACCUCUUACGCUUUUAAAACCCAAAGAGGAGACUCAGGGCCUUUGAAGCCAACGUAAAUACAACUGUUUAACAGCUUAUUUUAACUAUCCAAUGGGAACCCAGUUGCUUAAAUGGAUUCACGUUGCCAGCAAUCUCUUUUUGCGACAUGGUAUUUGUUAGAAAUCAGGAUUUUACUUAACUAAAUGUCCUGCGGUCGCUCCGCUUUGUUUCUUAACAGGGCUGUCUUUAUGUGAGUUUUCUUUGGCUUCCCAAUAGAAGAGUAACAGAUUCCUUUUGAAGUUUUUUAUUGAUGAAUGAGCCGCUAUAAAUAACCCUCCGUGGCAGCCGCCCGAUCUCUGAAGUUUACUCUGGAAUAAUAGUAGCAGAGGGAAUGAAGGGCAGUUCACGGCAGCGUGUCAUGAAAUACUUUAAUGGGCUUCAUACUGUUUAACUUAAUCUUUACAGAUGUAAAAACAGAAAUACAAUUAUUUUAACAACUAUUAUUACAUAUUGCUUUGCUAAUGAAAACAAAGUCCUGGGAAACACUCGGAGACACCGAAGGGAUCCUCAGGAAGCUGUGCUGGGUGCUGGCGGGGAUCCCCGCAAUCUGGGGACAGACAGGGAGUCAGUGAUGGAGAUUCCUGAUCCCCCCAAAGGCUCUUUGUGCCGUCCCACUUGGCCACACGCAGCCACGCACACGCAAACACACACACGCACGUCCUGAUCGUGUGGUCGUACAGAGUGCAGCUUCUUGGAGCUGAUUUCAGGCUCGGCUCUACGGUAUGAAUUAUGGGGCCCGUGGAGAAUUUCUGUUGCUGGGAAAGACAACCGCUUGCUCUUAAUGGAGCUCGAAGGGCUCUUCCUGUUUCUCACAGUCCCCAGCUGCCACUCCACCUCCUUGAUCCUAGCCCUCCCCGCCCCCACCCACACAACUCCAGCUUCCAAGGAGCAUCCUCUCACCAGAGGGGACCGGGAUACGCCUCACUCGCCAACCCAUAAAUCCAGAGGUCACGCCUGCAGCUUGAACGUUCUCCCUGCUCCUCUGGGAAGUCGCGGAGAUUAAAUAUGGAACCCCUGGGUCUGGUGCACAGUGCUGUAAAGACCGCCCCCCUCUUUGAUUCUUCGGGGAGGUCUUUGCCUACAGAGGCGCGUCCAGAGUCGAGACAGGCAUUUUUCUCAUGAGCUGCAGCCUAAGCCCCCCUGCCCUCCAGACUGGGAGCCGGGCGCCCCCACGGGACCCUCCACUAUGUAACUCUGUGCCCUGGGGAAUUCACUUCCCCUCCCCGCUCCUCGGUGGGGUCCUCGCCAGGAAAA